AUUGAACGCUGGCGGCAUGCCUUACACAUGCAAGUCGAACGGUAACAGGUCUUCGGAUGCUGACGAGUGGCGAACGGGUGAGUAAUACAUCGGAACGUGCCCGAUCGUGGGGGAUAACGCAGCGAAAGACUGUGCUAAUACCGCAUACGAUCUACGGAUGAAAGCGGGGGACGUCGCAAUGGCCUCGCGCGGACGGAGCGGCCGAUGGCAGAUUAGGUAGUUGGUGGGAUAAAAGACUUACCAAGCCGACGAUCUGUAGCUGGUCUGAGAGGACGACCAGCCACACUGGGACUGAGACACGGCCCAGACUCCUACGGGAGGCAGCAGUGGGGAAUUUUGGACAAUGGGCGCAAGCCUGAUCCAGCCAUGCCGCGUGCAGGAUGAAGGCCUUCGGGUUGUAAACUGCUUUUGUACGGAACGAAAAGACUCUCUCUAAUACAGGGGGUGGAAUGACGGUACCGUAAGAAUAAGCA
rnacentral:rRNA from 1 species